UACUCUGGAGAGUCUUCCGUCAGGAAGCGCCGAAGGUGUACAGCAGUUAUUACAACUGCCUAUCUCUCAGGCAAAAGGACAGAGCA
rnacentral:ncRNA from 1 species